rnacentral:rRNA from 1 species
AUUGAACGCUGGCGGCAGGCCUAACACAUGCAAGUCGAGCGGAUGAAGGGAGCUUGCUCCUGGAUUCAGCGGCGGACGGGUGAGUAAUGCCUAGGAAUCUGCCUGGUAGUGGGGGCUAACGUCCGGAAACGGGCGCUAAUACCGCAUACGUCCUGAGGGAGAAAGUGGGGGAUCUUCGGACCUCACGCUAUCAGAUGAGCCUAGGUCGGAUUAGCUAGUUGGUGGGGUAAAGGCCUACCAAGGCGACGAUCCGUAACUGGUCUGAGAGGAUGAUCAGUCACACUGGAACUGAGACACGGUCCAGACUCCUACGAGAGGCAGCAGUGGGGAAUAUUGGACAAUGGGCGAAAGCCUGAUCCAGCCAUGCCGCGUGUGUGAAGAAGGUCUUCGGAUUGUAAAGCACUUUAAGUUGGGAGGAAGGGCAGUAAGUUAAUACCUUGCUGUUUUGACGUUACCAACAGAAUAAGCACCGGCUAACUUCGUG